GCAGAUGAGUCCAAUAUCCUCACUCUGGUAGAGGCCACUCUUCCUCUCUUCACACAUACAACAUAGAUGUUUCACCCAGCUACACCAGCAGACAACACAGAGACAGAUUUUUUGACAUGUCAAAAGAGGAGUGGCCAGUAGGUUGAGGGAGGUUAUUCUUCACCUCUACUCUGCUCUUACAAGACCCCACUUGGAGUACUGCAUCUUAUUCUGGGUCUACCAGCAUAAGAAGGAUGUGGACCUGUUGAAGUGGGUCCAGAGGAGGACCACAAAGAUGAUCAAGACCUGGAGCAGCUCUACUGUGAAGCCAAAAGCCUGAGAGAGAGUGACAGGAGUGCUUUCUGCUAAGAUGGAGGCUGUUUCCUAUCCAAACCUGUGUUAUUGUCAAAGGUGG